UACGAAGGGGGCUAGCGUUGUUCGGAAUUACUGGGCAUAAAGCGCGCGCAGGCGGUUUCUCAAGUCAGUGGUGAAAGCCCGGAGCUCAACUCCGGAACUGCCAUUGAAACUGUGAGACUUGAGGACGAGAGAGGUGAGUGGAAUUCCCAGUGUAGAGGUGAAAUUCGUAGAUAUUGGGAAGAACACCGGUGGCGAAGGCGGCUCACUGGCUCGUUUCUGACGCUCAGGCGCGACAGCGUGGGGAUCAAACAGG
rnacentral:rRNA from 1 species